rnacentral:lncRNA from 1 species
AACUAUUCAACUUUUAGGACCACAAAUACAAGUCAAAUUAUUUUUUUUAACUUAUUUUAGGGGAUGAAAUGAGACUCUCAUUUUGGGACUUAUAGAGUACUGAUUAAUUAAGUUUUUUUUAGGAAAAAAAAAACUAGGGAAAAAAGCUUAGUGCAUGAACUAAUAAAUGUAAGUUUUUGAUGAUUGCAGGCAAUUGGGAGGCAAAAGCCAGUCUGGAAUUUGUAAAGUAGGCAGGACAUCUUGUUCAGACAGAUCAAGGAUCCGACUAUAACCAACGCCUCAAGAAUAUUCUUGCUUCCUUACAAUAAAUCAUGAAUCAUCCCCUGCUCAUUAAUUCGAUCUACUUUCAUUCUACUUCCAUAUUUUUAAGAUAUUAGAUUUGUGUUUGAAUUUAUUUAAUAAGAUCCUAUAAGUUUACAGUCUGUUGGGUGAUUUUUGAAUUGUUUUUUCCCCAUUGGCUCACCAUAUUAUUA